rnacentral:rRNA from 1 species
CGGGAAACCGGAGCUAAUACCGGAUAAUAUUCGAACCGCAUGGUUCGAUAGUGAAAGAUGGUUUUGCUAUCACUUAUAGAUGGACCCGCGCCGUAUUAGCUAGUUGGUAAGGUAACGGCUUACCAAGGCGACGAUACGUAGCCGACCUGAGAGGGUGAUCGGCCACACUGGAACUGAGACACGGUCCAGACUCCUACGGGAGGCAGCAGUG